UUUAGAAGGAGUGAAGCUAUUAAAAAAAUUGCAUCUGCAAACAUUUUAUGACCAUAUAUCUUCUAUCGUUUUUGUCAAUAUUUUACAUAUUUUUUAAGAAUUACAUACUUAUAUAUAUAUAUUCAUUUUUUCUCUUUCUACUCGUCAGAUUAUCAUGUCCUGAUAUAUAUCAGGACAAGUAAUUUAUGCUGAGAGAUUGUAACGUGUUUUCAUGUAUAUUCAGGCAAGUAAUUUAUACUUUCAUGUAUCAAUGAGAGAUCUAAAAACAAAAACGUUGCAAUCACAAGAGUUGUACACACCGAGAAAGGGAAUUCUACACACAUACACAUUCAUGCCCAUAGUUAUUUACUCAUGAUAUCAGAUCAUUAUUAUCAUCUAUGCGGUUGUUAUAACAAAUCUGGUAUGUUUUUUUCUUAGUUAUGUUAUUCUUAUAAUCUCUACCUUAUCUUAUAAUUCUAAUUAGAAAAGUGUAUUCUCUUUUAGUUACGAGAUUUCAAGUUAAUAAUCUUGAAUGAAAAUAAACGUGUUAAAAAAUAUAAGUAAGAAGUUUAGAUCUUAUUCGAUCUUGAAAGAUCCAUAUAUGCUUACAAAAUCUCUAAUUAAAUUUUAUAAUUUAAUCUCAUUAGUUGUAAUUAUUUAUUCUAAAUGAUAUCAAAUAUUCACAGUUUCUGUAUCAUUUACAAUUUUCUUAUUAAAUUCAUCGUGGUGAUAAAAUAAUUACAGGAAAUAAUGAAGAAAAUGCUCCACAAUAAAUCCGUCCAAAUUGCGGCGGUCCAGUAUUACAACAAAACACGGUAACUUUGGGAUACAUAUUGUUAAUUAGUUUUUGUGUCGAUCAUUUCGCACAUAAAAAAUCUAACCCAAUAUAUCAAUGUUCUUCAACUACUAUAAUAGGUCUGAACUUAGCCGUACACCUGCGCAAGAGCUCGGUGGGUAUUUUGGUAAAUUUUAUUAUCCCGAUGGAUAUUUUAAUUGCACAUUUAUUUAUAUAUAAAUAUAAAUAUUUAUAUUUAUUUACAUCCACAUAGCAGCAAAAAAUAAUGAUACAGAACUAGAAAAUAAUUGUAUAUUCUGGUGUAUUAGGGCUAGGGGUACUGAUGCGUUGCCAUGCAAAAUGAUUGGGAUGAAAGGGACCGCUAGUUACAGGAAACUACUGGUUGGUAAUGGUUGUGAAUGAAUAUACAGAGGAGGGUACACAUAUCGCUAGGGCUGUAAUUCGAGCCGAGCCGGGCGAGUUUCGAGCCGAGCCUAAUUCGAGCCAACUUUAAUCGAGCCGAGCCGAGCCGGCUCGAUUAACUAAUCGAGCCUAAAUCUUUGCCCGAACUCGACUCGGUUAAUUUCACGAGUCGAGUCGAGCCGGCUCGUUUAGCUAAACGAGCCGGUUUUAACGAGCCGAGCGAGCCAGCUCGUAUAAUUUUACACUUAAUCGAGCCCAAACCUCUACCCGAACUCGACUCGUUUAAUUUCACGAGUCGAGUCGAGCCGGCUCGUUUAAUUAAACGAGCCGAAACCUUUACCCGAACUCGGCUCGUUUAACGAGUCGAGCCGAGCCGAGCCCACUUAAACGAGUUCGAGCCGGGCGAGCUCGCGAGCCGCCCGACUCGAAUUACAGCCCUACAUAUCGCAGAGAGUGUAUCAUGUUUGGUGUUGGCGAAGGAUUAUAUGGAGCUGCUAAUGCUGACAACUUCUCCUUUUAAUAUAUUAAUUUGUUAGGAACUAUGUAUUAUUUUUUAAGUAAUGAUUUGAGAGCACAUGAGAUUCUUUCUAAGUCACUUCCCACAUUUUGGAGGAACCAUUUUAUUAUUAUUGUCAUAUAUUUGUAAUAAAAUGAUAUUUUAUAAUUUAACUUUUAUUUAAUUAAAUAAUGUUAAUAGUUUAAUAAUCAAAUUAAGUGAUUAAAAAUUAUAUAAUGAACUUGGAAUUUGAACAUGGAUAUAGAAAUAUGGAUCCAAGAUUUUGAGAAUUUGUCGGUGGAGUUAUUUGGAUUCAUCUUUUGACAAAAAAAUUCAUAUAAAUUUUGAAUAUUAUGAUCAAUAGACAAUGUGUGAUAAGUGAAGAAUACAGAAAAUAAGAUACGUUACUUGUUUAUGUAAAAGAGUAAAUUUAACCGUUAUAAAUUUAUAAGUUAAUAUCUAUUAUUUAUUAAUAUUAUAACAUUAAUUAUACUGUUAAUAUUAUAACAGCAACAAAGACUCAAAUAAUAAAAACACUUUGCAUGAUGUCUGUUCAAUGCAAAGUGAUAUGCUGCAACUUGCAUGGUGUAUAGUAAUGGAGAAAAGAUGAUCAAUUUGUUUGGUUUUUUAUAAUUUAAUUUGUUUGUUUUUUUUUAAUCUAUUUUUAUCGUAUCGAUGUGAUUGUUUCCGUUUUUCUAAAAAAGAGUCCCUUCAAAUUUUUUGUCAAAUAUAUUUUUAAUUAAUUAAAUUUAUAUGAGGUAUUGUACUCUUUUACUGAAAAAAAUAAAAAAAUUGAUUAAACUAAAUCAAAGUAUAAAAUUACUUAAAUUUGAUUAAAUAAAAAAACUGCCCACGAUCACGCCGAUUGGCCGGAGCCCGACUCGGGAUCGGAAUUCGGAACUCCCAUAUCCAUAUUCAAGCAAGACACUACUCUGAUCCAAUUUUUUCCAAAUACCUUUCUUUUGGUCAUAGCUCAAUUCCAAUCAUAUUGCCUGCGCCUAAUAUAUAUAUCUAGUCUUUAAACUUUUUCAGUCACUAGCCAAUGUUCUCAAAAACCUGCUUUUUCAAUUAAUCAGGCUACUUGUCCAGACACUUUACAUUCCUGUUUGAGCUGAGCUCCAGUUCCAAAAUCUUCGUCAUGUCAUGGAAACUUUAGUUUAUGAGUUUGUAAUCGUGUUUAUCUGCAAUGCGAAGAUCCUCUUUAAAUCAAUUUUAAGAAUGUUGCUACUUGCUACCAUGUUCAGCAGUUCUUAAGUAAGUCACAAGUUGGAUCGACAACAUGGCAAUUUUAACUCUUUCAUGGAACUAAGAACUGAUCAGCAACAGACUUCGGUUGUUUGUAUUCGCUUGGUAUAGGACUUUCUGUUUUAAUCUCAUUCCCUGUGACGUGCUAAUAAUUGUUGAAAUUCGGACAAUUCAAAAGUUUUGGUUUAGGAUUUAAACAAUCCUAGCCGUGAAUGAGAGUACCAAGCAUAAUAAUCAAGCAGUGGCUUUGAUUUAAAAAUUCUCAAUAUAAAAAACUAGUUAGUUGUAGUUUGUCAUUUCUUCAGAAACUGAUAACAGUCAUUCAUUCUAUAAGUUUCUCAAAAGUUUCUUACUAAUAGUUAAGGCCUGAGGAACAUACAAUUACAAGCCAAACAUUGUUGGGCAGCGCAACACCCGUUAACUCCGCAUUAGUAUGAUAUUGUCCGCUCUGGGCCGUGGCCAAGCCCGCACGGAUUUGCUUUCGAGCUCCUCCCAAAAGACCUCAAACUAAUAGAGUUCUUUGGCUGCUUAUAUUCAAGAUAAAUCUUCUUUAUUUUUCCGAUGUGGGACUUGGGUUGAACCCACUCAACAAUCUCCCCUCAAUCCAAGAACCACUAAUCUUGUGACCCUUAUACCGCCGCUACUCAUCGGUUCAUCAUCUUGCGGGACACGUCGUCCAACCACCGUUGUCGGAAAGACUUUCGACACAAGCCGUCCAAGACCUCCAAUCGUAGUUCUCGAGAGCCUCCCCACAUCACACAACUGCAUCCCACAACCCCAAGAUCAACUUCUUAACCUCGCUCUGAUACCACUUGUUGGGCCGCGCAACACUCGUUAACUCCGCAUUAGUAUGAUAUUGUCCGCUCUGGGCCGUGGCCAAGCCCGCACGGAUUUUCUUUCGGGCUCCUCCCAAAAGGCCCCAUACUAAUGGAGUUCUUUGGCAGCUUAUAUUCAAGAUAAAUCUUCUUUAUCUUUCCGAUGUGGGACUUGGGUUGAACCCACCCAACAAACAUUACAAUAUGAAGCAGAAGUUGACAAUGAUACAAUCAUGUAUGAAACUGAAGCCUUGAAGUUCUACAAUCAAGUAACAGUCAGCUUUCUUUUGAAUGUUAUGUUUUGCUUUCUCUAAAAUUAAACCAUGGAUCAUUGUCUUCGUUGGAUUCUUUUGAUCUUUCUCUGUUUUCCGGUUGCCUUAACUUAUAAUUCAUAGAAUCGAAACUAUGAACUGGUGAAGCCGGGUUUUGCUACACAUCCGAUCCUGCCAACAUGCUUCUUCUUCCCUGUCAACUUCAAGGCUACGGAGACUAAUUCUGCUUCUUCAGUUGAAUUGUUUAUCCAACUGCUAGAAAUUAUACUGAGAAUAUUUGAUCUAACAAUGCACCAAUAUAUUUAUACAUGAUACCGAUUCAUAAAAUAUGUUGGAUAUUUUAUUUUGAAAAAAAUGACAUUGAUUAAUUUUGAAAAUGUUGGAAAGAUUUAAAUGGAAAAAACAACAAAACAUAUAUUAUUUUAAUACUCAAUAUCUAAAACUCGCAAUAGAAAAAGAGGGUGAUUUUUAAUUGUUAAAAUAAAAACAUCGGGGGUUGCAAAACUGUGAGCGUUGCAAAACUACGGACGGUUUUAAUCUUGUGGGCGUGCAAAACUGUGGGCGGUUUUAAUCUUGUCCGUUCAACAAAGCAAAAACGAACGUCCCAGAUCCUUAGAUGGCAUUUUCAAUCGGGUAUAUAAUGAAAGGGGAACAAAAAUUAUUAUACACAAAUUUCAGAGUUCACAAGGAGUGAAGUUAUAAUUUUUUUUGCAUAUAGACACUCAAGUACAAGUAUUUUAUUAUCAUAUAUCUUUUAUUUGAUUUUUCAAUAUUUUACAUAUUUGAAAGAGUUAGGUUACAUACAUAGAUUCAUUUUUUUUUCUCUUUAGUGUCAGAUGAACAUGUUGUAAUAUAUAUGAAGGCAAUCGAUUUAUAUACUCCCAAUUGAUGCUUGAGAGAUUUUUACGUGUUGUCAUACGAGCAAGUAAAUUAUACUUCCAUGAUGAUCCGAUCACAAAAAUUAUACACACCCACCCAGAAAGAGAAAUUCUACACAAAUAUAUAUAGGUGUCUACGAUUAUUUACUCAAGAUAUCAAAUCAUGUUAUUAUUAUCUACACGGCACUUGCAACAAUAUGGAAACAAUGAAGAUAAUGCUCCAAAAUAAAUCCGCCCAGUUGCGACGACCAGUGUUAUCACAAAAGAUGGUCUGGAUUCAGCUCAACACAUGCUCAAUAGCUUGGUGGCUAUUCUGCAAAGCCUUCAACCAUGUUGUUGAGUUGCCCAACAAUCAAUUGAUGGCUUCUUCUUCCUCCCAACCUGGAUGUGGAGAUUGAUGAUGAAAAUCAACUAUCAUGAUUCAGAUGCGGUGUAUAUAUGUGCUCACGCAUGUCAAAGAGAUGACAUUAAGUCAUCCAGAACAUGUUAAGAUGAAGCUGUUGAAAAAAAAGCACCAUCUUCAGGAUCGGAGGGAAGUAUAAUUUAAAAAAAAAUGGGGAUCAGAUGGGAGCAGCAGCAGGAACAUAAUCAUAUAGAAGAAUCAGAAAAUGCAGAGACCGGUGGCCUUUGGGAUCGAUUUUUAUAUUUAAGCUAAAUGUAUCUUUCUUAAUCCGCACCUCUUAAUGUACAAUUGUACAUAAGAAUGUAAGAAAAUUGUCAGAUGUUGAAGUUGCAUUGUUAAUAUACAUCAGUUUGCUACAUACGCAUUGUAAUGAAAUUGUAUCAAAUGGAUGGUUUUGCAGUA